CCUACGGGUGGCAGCAGUGGUGAAUAUUGCGCAAUGGGCGACAGCCUGACGCAGCGACGCCGCGUGAGGGAUGAAGGUCUUCGGAUCGUCAACCUCUGUCCGCAGGGAAGAACCGUCCCUGUGCUAAUCAGCCGUGAAUUGACGGUACCUGCAAAGGAAGCACCGGCUAACUCCGUGCCAGCAGCCUCGGUAAUGCGGAGGGUGCGAACGUUCAUCGGAAUUACUGGGCGUAAAGCUCUCGGAGGCGGUAUGUCAAGUAAAGGGUGAAAUCCCCGCGCUCAACGUGGGAACUGCCUUUGAAACUGGCAAACUGGAGUGUGUGAGAGGAUAGUGGAAUGCCAGGUGUAGGAGUGAAAUCCGUAGAUAUCUGGAGGAACAGCAGUGGCGAAGGCGACUAUCUGGCACAUAACUGACGCUGAGGAGCGAAAGCGUGGGUAGCAAACAGGAUUAGAUACCCCAGUAGUC
rnacentral:rRNA from 1 species